CUGGCUCAGGAUGAACGCUGGCGGCGUGCCUAAUACAUGCAAGUCGAGCGAACAGAUAAGGAGCUUGCUCCUUUGACGUUAGCGGCGGACGGGUGAGUAACACGUGGAUAACCUACCUAUAAGACUGGGAUAACUUCGGGAAACCGGAGCUAAUACCGGAUAACAUAUUGAACCGCAUGGUUCAAUAGUGAAAGGCGGCUUUGCUGUCACUUAUAGAUGGAUCCGCGCCGUAUUAGCUAGUUGGUAAGGUAACGGCUUACCAAGGCAACGAUACGUAGCCGACCUGAGAGGGUGAUCGGCCACACUGGAACUGAGACACGGUCCAGACUCCUACGGGAGGCAGCAGUAGGGAAUCUUCCGCAAUGGGCGAAAGCCUGACGGAGCAACGCCGCGUGAGUGAUGAAGGUUUUCGGAUCGUAAAACUCUGUUAUCAGGGAAGAACAAAUGUGUAAGUAACUGUGCACAUCUUGACGGUACCUGAUCAGAAAGCCACGGCUAACUACGUGCCAGCAGCCGCGGUAAUACGUAGGUGGCAAGCGUUAUCCGGAAUUAUUGGGCGUAAAGCGCGCGUAGGCGGUUUUUUAAGUCUGAUGUGAAAGCCCACGGCUCAACCGUGGAGGGUCAUUGGAAACUGGAAAACUUGAGUGCAGAAGAGGAAAGUGGAAUUCCAUGUGUAGCGGUGAAAUGCGCAGAGAUAUGGAGGAACACCAGUGGCGAAGGCGACUUUCUGGUCUGUAACUGACGCUGAUGUGCGAAAGCGUGGGGA
rnacentral:rRNA from 1 species